rnacentral:lncRNA from 1 species
GUUACAAAUUUGAUGUUCAUUUCUCUUCUUCCUCUUUUAGAGAUGGGUAGUGAGGAAGCUCUCAAGGCAAAAGAAAUCUCAAUAAAUGGCAUAUGGUAGACUUGUGAGCAAUGCUUGAAAACUUUCAACUCCACAGAAAGUAGUUACCAUUGAAAGGUUAAGAAAUGAAUUUUUGUAAUCAUAAGGAAUAUAAUUCAGUUCCUUAAACAUAGAAUUAAACCUUUUCAAAAUUUUUAAAAUAUCCCCAGAUUUUUUAAAAAAUAUAUAUUUUCCCAUUCAUCUUGGUAAGUACAAUGAUAAUUGGAAAAUAAAAGAAAAAAUAAUAUCUCUCUGCCUCCAGCAGUUAUUCCUUACAGGCCUGCCAAUUUAAUUUUGUAUCCUACAUCUUUAUAAUUAUCUUUAUAUUUUGUUAAUUAAAUUCUUUAUCCUCCAAUACAGAAUAUCAGUCAUAGUAAAGUUUCAACCUUAUUAUCCAGCAAUAGUAGCAUACAGCUUGUGUUUUCUCAUAAAUCUGGUGUCUUCAAAAUAAAUUAGGAGCAAAUGAUAAGCAUUUGAAAGAACAGUAAAGUUUUCAAAAGGGAAUCUUAGAUUUGGGAUUUUCCAAUCCACAGAAAGAGAUAGGGACAGAGACACGGAGAUUGGGAGAAAAAGAUAGGUAGAGAGGGAGGAAAAAGGAAAAUAAAAAUAAAAGUAUCUAUUAAAGAUGAAAGCUAUUACUGACAAUAUUUAAUACAUAAAAUAUAUUAAAAUAGAUCUACUGAAUGUGUGCAUUUGUGGUAAAAACACCUAACAUGAGAUCUAUCUUCUUUUUUUUCAUGUUAUUGAUUUUAUUAUUUUUUAAAAUACAUGACAACAGUGGAAUGGAUUACAACCCUUAUUACACAUAUAGAGCACAAUUUUUCAUAUCUCUGAAUAUAAAGUAUGUUCACAUCAAUUUAUGCCAUUAUACAUGUAUUUUUUUGCAUUACAAUUCUUAAUACAC